rnacentral:rRNA from 1 species
CAGUCGCCGCGGUAAUACGAAGGGGGCUAGCGUUGCUCGGAAUGACUGGGCGUAAAGGGCGCGAAGGCGGGUCUUUAAGUCAGGGGUGAAAUCCUGGAGCUCAACUCCAGGACUGCCUUUGAUACUGAAGAUCUUGAGUUCGGGAGAGGUGAGUGGAACUGCGAGUGUAGAGGUGAGAUUCGUAGAUAUUCGCAAGAACACCAGUGGCGAAGGCGGCUCACUGGCCCGAUACUGACGCUGAGGCACGAAAGCGUGGGGAGCAAACAGGGUUAGAUACCCCCGUAGUCCCUGUCUCUUAUAC